rnacentral:rRNA from 1 species
GGCGACCGGCGCACGGGUGCGUAACGCGUAUGCAACUUACCCUGUACAGGGGGAUAGCCCGGGGAAACCCGGAUUAAUACCCCAUGGUAAUAUUGAAUGGCAUCGUUUAAUAUUUAAAACUUCGGUGGUACAGGAUGGGCAUGCGUCCCAUUAGUUAGUUGGUGAGGUAACGGCUCACCAAGACGAUGAUGGGUAGGGGGUCUGAGAGGAUGAUCCCCCACACUGGUACUGAGACACGGACCAGACUCCUACGGGAGGCAGCAGUAGGGAAUAUUGGUCAAUGGGCGAGAGCCUGAACCAGCCAUGCCGCGUGCAGGAAGACGGCCUUAUGGGUUGUAAACUGCUUUUCUACGGGAAGAAAAGACCUAUGCGUAGGGCAUUGACGGUACCGUAGGAAUAAGCACCGGCUAACUCCGUGCCAGCAGCCGCGGUAAUACGGAGGGUGCAAGCGUUGUCCGGAUUUAUUGGGUUUAAAGGGUGCGUAGGCGGCUUUAUAAGUCAGUGGUGAAAAGCUACAGCUCAACUGUAGUCGUGCCAUUGAAACUGUAAAGCUUGAGUAUAUUUGAGGUAGGCGGAAUUUAUGGUGUAGCGGUGAAAUGCAUAGAUACCAUAAAGAACACCGAUAGCGUAGGCAGCUUACUAAGAUAUAACUGACGCUGAGGCACGAAAGCGUGGGGAGCGAACAGGAUUAGAUACCCUGGUAGUCCACGCUGUAAACGAUGAUUACUCGGUUUUGGCAUAUUAAAAUG